rnacentral:rRNA from 1 species
UACGGGGGGAGCAAGCGUUGUUCGGAUUUACUGGGCGUAAAGGGCGCGUAGGCGGCCACCGCAAGUCGGUUGUGAAAUCUCUGGGCUUAACCCAGAAAGGUCAACCGAUACUGCGGGGCUAGAGUGCAGAAGGGGCAACUGGAAUUCUCGGUGUAGCGGUGAAAUGCGUAGAUAUCGAGAGGAACACCUGCGGCGAAGGCGGGUCUCUGGGCCGAUACUGACGUGAGGAGCGAAAGCGUGGGGGAGCGAAACAGGA